CAUCUUCAGAGGAUCUGAUGUUGGGAAAGCAAGUGGAGUAUAUAUAUCUGUUGGAGUGUCCAGACUGAAUAUGCUACAUGUAACCCACCCAGAGCCCAUGAAUAAGCUAUUUAUUAGAACAGUAAAAGGAACAUCAGAGCCCAUCUUGCACAGAAGGUCGAGAAAAUCCUUCAACACUCUACUGCAGUUUUGGCUAGUUCUUGCCACAUGGAAAAGUGUUGCUGAAUUUCUUGCAAAAGCAAUUGGCAUUGAAAAAGCGGCAGUAGCAAGUGGCGCAUGGAUCACAGCAAGGGAGCUUAUGGCCAUUGCACGAUUCCUGCAGGCGGACGCAUCUUCUUGGGGAGCGUUCCUCCCUUCCCUGGGCCUGCAACGCUGAUGACAGUAUCUGGAAGGAGAGCAAUAAGGAGAGAAUUUGAGACCUGGCCUGCUGAUGGCAAAAACAGGUGUGAUUUUGCCGUCAAGUCGCAGCUGACGUACGGUGACCCCUUGAUGUUUUCAAGGCAUGAAGUGUUCAGAGGUGGUUUCCCAUUGCUUGUCUCUUCAUGGGCUGCGAGAGUGCUGAGAGAACUGUGACUGCCCCGAGGUCAACCCAGCAGGCUUCACCCAGAGUGGAAAAUAGAACCUGGUUCUCUAGUUUCGAGUCUACUGCUGUUAACUGCUACACUGUGCUGGUUCUAUUAAAAAGGUGAAAAAGAAGACCUGAGGCUGCUGUCCUCUGGGUGGUUUUUAUUCCACUCCUGUUAACUUGCACAAGAGAAAUUCCACAUGCUACAGUUAGCUGAAACUCAGCUCCAUUUAAUUCACACACUGUAAGGGAAGAUAAAUACUGGCUAAUUCUCUUGGGUUAACUGAGAUUAUUUGCCACACCGGUGCAGCUACAGUAUGUUCCCUGGCCGUGGCAUGCUGCCAUCUGAACUUGUGUGGGUCAACUUGCGUGUGGUACAAUAAAGGCAGUCCCAGUGUGCAGAAACAUUCAAGUACAUGUCUUAGUAAUCCCUUCCAACUUAAUGUCCACAUCAUAAUGAACUCCCAUAGUUCAGAGGUCCAAGUGCAUGCCUUGAAGAGCCGGGAAAGAUCCUCCUCUGCCCGAGACCAUGGAGAGAAACUGUUUGUUAGAUGAGACAGCACUGAAUUGGAUGGACCAACAAUACUACUUCAUAUGUCCCAGAUGUAAUCUUUCAACAUACCUGUGACUCUAUCAUGCUGGCCUCUGGCCCAAGGUCAUCUUGAGCUAUUGAUACCUCUAAAGCCAACUGUUCAAAAUCUGAGAAAGCAAAUGAAGUUUUAUAAAGGGGGGAAAGAUAUUGAAGACAUCUGAAAAGCAAAACCUGGUUAGAUAGCAAUCCUAUGCUUUUUGGGAUCCCACUGGAAUACAUAAAUACCAGAGUCUCCUU